UUGUGUUUCCAUUAAAUGCCUUUUCCCUCUCCCAUCUUGAUUUCAGGUGUCAGAAACUAUUUAAAAGAAGCAUUGGUGAAUAUAAUUGCAGUGCAUGCAGAGGUGUUCACUAUUUCCAAAGAAUUGGUGCCUCGGGUUCUGUCCAGGGUGGUGGAAGCAGUGUCUGAAGAGCUUAGUAGACUAAUGCAGUGUGUGUCAUCCUUCAGCAAAAAUGGAGCAUUACAGGCGAGGCUUGAAAUCUGUGCGCUGAGGGACACUGUGGCUGUCCACCUGACGCCUGAAAGCAGGUCCAGUUUUAAGCAGGCUCUGGAAGCGCUGCCCCAGCUUUCCAGCGGAGCAGACAAAAAGUUACUGGAAGAGCUGCUGAACAAGUUCAAGAGCAGUAUGCACCUGCAACUCACCUGUUUCCAAGCUGCUUCUUCAGCCUUGAUGAAAACAUAAAUGCCUCCAAAUUUUCUGAAAGUUCAUAAUGUUCUAAGUGUGAUGCCCUUAUACUCUUAAUGAUAUUAGAACAAAUGUCAUAAGCUUUCUUCAAAUUUCUAUCAAGUUUUGGAUAUAAUCAUAUUUAGCAGCAGUAGAGCACUGAAAAGCUGAAUAGGAUUGUAUGCUUCAUGCAGUAGAUGGGUCUUACCAAUUGAGCAUCAAUCAGAGUGGUAUGUAUGAGCCUUUUCAUUGGGGAAUCCCUAACAUUAUAAUUAGGUCAUUUGGGGGGCCUGGUAAGAUUUCCCAGAGAGGGUUCUUUCGAUCUUAUGCCUUCUGGAAGGAAGAAGAGGCAGAAGGCUUGGACGGUCAUUUUUGUCAGGGCUCACAGCUGGAUCUGAUAUCCCAUGCUCUGCAUUUACCUUCUUUGGAGAAUAAAGCUCUAGUCUUCUGCUUUAGUGGGACGAUGGAAGGCAUUGCCCAGCCCUGUGGAAGGAAGAAACCUGGGGACAUCUGGCUAUUUCUUAAACAGCCUUUAAACUAAUCAUUUGGUUUUAACUUUAUCCCCGCUUUCAGAAGUUUCCUUACCACUCAUUCUUGAGCGUUUUAGGAUUUUUACAGUACAAAGUAGAUUGCAGCUUUCUUUUACAUACAGUACUGCCAAGUUAGGCUCUGAUGUUUUUGGAUCUGCUAAUUAAAUUAGUUUCCACUUACUCAUACACUUGGUUUCUAGCUAUGAUUUACUCUCCUAUUCCUUUUUCUUUGUGAAGUUAUGCUUUUUAUAUAUAUUUAACCAUAUAUAUAACUACAUGUAGUUAUAUAUACUACUCUAUGCAGUGUAUUUGCUGCACAUAUAUAGAUAUAUACAGUAUAUAUACUGUAUCUAUGUUGUGUGUAUGUGCAUGCACACACACACACACACACACACACACACAAACUGCAAUGUCAUUUUUAUAGUUUUGGAUAGACCUAAGCUUAAUGUGUGGUUUCAGUCUGCCCUCUAUAACAGAAAGUUCAGAUUAACUUUUUUUUGUUUUAUUUUAUCAUAAUAAACCAAACUGUUUACAUGUG